rnacentral:ncRNA from 1 species
AGCCGUGUAAUAGGAGACCAUUUCGCGCGGUUCGGGGGGCACUUGAGUCAGCCGCCGGCGCCCGACAGGACCCCUAU